GUGGUUCUGACGUGUCCAGUGGGUGCUUCUGGGGUGUCCGGUAGUAGUUGGUUCCCCCAUGUCUGGCAGGUGAUUCCCGUGUGUCCAGCAGCUGGCUACGACAUGUCCAGGACCUGAUCCAGUCAAAUUGGGGUGGUGGUUUCGGCGUAUCUGACUGGUAGUUCCGAUGUGACCGGCAGGUUUUUCCGACCUCUCUGGUUGUCGGUUCUGGUGUAACCGGGACCUGGUUCUGGCAUAUCCGGCAGGUGAAUUUUGGUGUGUCCAGCAGGCAGUUCUGGUGUGUCCAGCACCUGGCUCCGGCAUGUUCGGCUGGUGCUUCUGGCGUGUCCACCAGAUGGAUCUGGUGUGUCCUGAAGUUGGUGAUGGCGUGUCCUGCAAGUGGUUCAGUCACUUCCAGCAGGUGGUUGAGGCUUGUCCGGCAGGUGGUUCAGUCGUGUUCAGCACCUGGUUCCGGGGUGUGCAACACAUGUUUUUAGCAUAUCCAGCAAGUGGCUCCAGCAUGUCUGGCAGGUGGUUCAGUCAUGUCCGGCACCUGGUUUCGGCAUGUGUGACACCUGUUUCUGGUGUAUCCGGCAGGUGGUUCCCACGUGUCGGGCAGGUGGUUCAGGAGUGUUCAGCAGGUGGUUCUUACGUGUUGGGCAGCUGGUUACAGCGUGCCUGGCAUGUGGUUCCAGAAUGUCCGUAAAGUGGUUCAGGAUGGUCCAGCAGGUGGUUUAGGCUAGUCCAGCAGCUGCUUCGGGCUUAUCUGGCACCUGGUUCCACCCUAGCUGUACCUGUUUCUGGCGUAUCUGGCAGAUCGUUCUGGCGUGUCCUGGAGGUACUUUUGGUGUGACCGGCACAUGGUUUUGGCAUAUCUGACAGGUGAUUUGGACAUGUCUGGCAGUUGGUUCCGCCAUGUCUGGCACCUGGUUCUGGGGCAUUUGGCAGGUGGUUUCAGUGUAUGCAGCACCUGGUUCCGGCAUAUCCAACAGGUGUCCAGCAGGUGGUUCCGGGGAGUCAAGCAGGUGGUUGAAGCAUGUCAGUCAGGUGGUUCAGGCAUGUCCAGCAGGUGGUUCAGGCCUGUCCUGAAGGUGGUUUCGGCACCUCCGGAACCUGCUUCUGGCAUAUCGGACAUGUGGUUCCGGCAUGCUUGGAAUGCGGUUCUGGAGUGUCUGUCAAGUGGUUCAGGUGUAUCCAGCAGGUGGUUCAGUCUUGUCUGGC
rnacentral:lncRNA from 1 species